AGCAGUAGCCGCGGGAAUACGUAGGGUGCAAGCGUUAAUCGGAAUUACUGGGCGUAAAGCGUGCGUAGGCGGCUUCUUAAGUCGGAUGUGAAAUCCCUGAGCUUAACUUAGGAAUUGCAUUCGAUACUGGGAAGCUAGAGUAUGGGAGAGGAUGGUAGAAUUCCAGGUGUAGCGGUGAAAUGCGUAGAGAUCUGGAGGAAUACCGAUGGCGAAGGCAGCCAUCUGGCCUAAUACUGACGCUGAGGUACGAAAGCAUGGGGAGCAAACAGGAUUAGAUACCCCGGUAGUCCUGUCUCUUAUACA
rnacentral:rRNA from 1 species